UACAGGAGGUCCCGAGCGUUGUUUCGGAUUCAUUGGGCGUAAAGGGUGCGUAGGCGGCUUUCUAAGUCUGAUGUGAAAUCCCGGGGCUCAACCGUGGAACUGCCUUAGAUACUGUCGGCCUCGAGGAAGGUAGGGGCAUGCGGAACUGUAGGUGGAGCGGUGAAAUGCGUUGAUAUCUACAGGAACUCCGGUGGCGAAAGCGGCGUGCUGGACCUUUUCUGACGCUGAGGCGCGAAAGCUAGGGGAGCAAACGGG
rnacentral:rRNA from 1 species